UGCCAGCAGCCGCGGUAAUACAGAGGCCCCAAGCAUUAUCCGGAUUCACUGGGCGUAAAGGGUGCGUAGGCGGUGCUAUUAGUCGGGUGUUAAAUCCUGGGGCUCAACCUCAGAAUCGCAUUCGAAACGGUAACACUAGAAGAAGUGAGAGGUUAGCAGAACUCUCGGUGUAGGGGUGAAAUCCGUUGAUAUCGAGGGGAAUACCAAAUGCGAAGGCAGCUAACUGGCACUUUCUUGACGCUGAGGCACAAAAGCAUGGGUAGCGAACGGGAUUAGAUA
rnacentral:rRNA from 1 species